AGAGGGAGGUGCAACAUGAACGAAGUGAAUGUUUUGGAACGCACCGACCGACUUGCCGACGAGCAAAGCGAGGGGGCGUUACCGAAG
ncrna:unclassified sequences GA-cis RNA